rnacentral:lncRNA from 1 species
AGGCUGAGGCAGGAGGAUCCCUUAAAGCUAGGGAGUCAAGGCUGCAGUGAGCCGAGAUCGUGCCACUGCACUCCAGCCUGGGUGACGGAGACCCUGUCUCAAAAAAGAAAAGAAAACAAGUAUUGGGUGGAGAGAGGACCAAGCCCAAUUACUACUUUAGUGCGGCUGCCCCGUCCCGUCUGGUGACCACGCACUUCUGUGAUGGCCUCAGCGGCUGCCUCCUCCAGGACACCUUCUCUGACUACCUACUUCCCAGGACCAGCCUGUCCCAGUCACCCCCGGAACAGACUGAGUCACAGCGGAUUCCUCUCAGACACCCAUGAGGGUAAAGGAGGGGCUCCUGCCAGCUUUGUCCCAGGACCCACAGCCCCACACGUGCCUGACAGCGCUGGAGGCCAUGGGAGGUGCACAGGCAUCUGGGGGUCCUGGGGGUGCUGACAGCCCUGGGGCAGGGCGACCUCUGACCAUCAGCCUCCCAGGCGUGGAGAGGAGGAGCUGUGGAAACCUGGGAUCCCAACAGACGCGUGGUGCUUGGCUUCUGUUUCACGGGAAGUUGGGGAAGAGUAAGUGGCCCCCACAAUUCCAGGGAAUACCCCCACUCCAUUCCUGCAGGGCCUGGCGCAGGAAGCCAGGUGGCAUCACUGCUGGCGGGGGUCACUGUGCCAGGGGGCUCCCACGGUGCCUCCCCCACCAGGCGGGGGUUCAGCUACUUCCUGCGGCUGUGCUCUCUGCAGAGAUGCUGGUGUUCUCAGCUUUGGGGGAUUAUUCUUAAGAGGUGCAGGUCCUCAAUUCCCUGCCACCUUUAUGUUGGUUAAAACCCAAAGGAGCAGGCCCAGCCCUGCUGUCUCAUGGAGGUCAACCCACGGCCCGCCUGCCCGGACAGGGCAAGGCCAAGCAGGGCCUCUGAGAUGCCUCCACCUUGCGGCAAUUGCAGACCCUGCUGGGUUGGACGAAAAGCCAUUGUAGAGUCUCAGAGGAAGGGCCAGGCGGGGUGAGGGUCAGAGGAAGGGCCAGACGGGGUGAGGGUCACAUGAAGGGCCAGGCG